CGCGCAGGCGGCUAUCUACGUCCGGGGUGAAAGCCCAGAGCUCAACUCUGGGACUGCCUUGGAUACGGGAUGGCUUGAGGAUCGGAGAGGCAAGGGGAAUUCCACGUGUAGCGGUGAAAUGCGUAGAGAUGUGGAGGAACACCUGUGGCGAAGGCGCCUUGCUGGCCGAUUUCUGACGCUGAGGCGCGAAAGCGUGGGGAGCAAACAGGAUUAGAUACCCUGGUAGUCCACGCCGUAAACGAUGAGUGCUAGGUGUUGGGGGGUACCACCCUCAGUGCCGAAGCUAACGCAUUAAGCACUCCGCCUGGGGAGUACGGUCGCAAGACUGAA
rnacentral:rRNA from 1 species